GACCGCGUAGCUCAGUUGGAAGAGCAUUGGGCUAGUAUUCCAAAGGUCGUAGGUUCGAAUCCCACUGUGGUCG